CUGGCAUGUCAGAAACUCAAACUCACAGUUCUGUGAAGCUGCAAAGACAACACUAUAAUUAAGUUUUCUUUGUUCAAAGGGAUUUGCCAUUUCCUUCCUCUGAGACCGAGAGAGUGUGACAUGCCCAAAGUCACCAUGUCUGAGUGGGAAUUCAAAUCCUGGUCCCCUGGAGUCCCAGUCCAUCGUUCAAACCACUACACCAUUCAGACUCUCUUUGAAGAGUUUCAGCGUCAGAGAAGCACCAGCUCUGGAUGUUGUUAUAAGAUUGGCUGUCACUGAGGAUGUACUUAUUCUUCAAGAAUGAAGCUUGAUCUUCUUGAUGAAAUAUGAAGAUUGAUGAGAAAAUGUAUUUUUUUUACUGAAAAGGACCUCUAAUGUUACUUUUUAAAAAGUGUUUUUAAAAGGUUACACUACCAUGGUCUAUACAGCCCUUACGUUUGUCUACUUAUACUGAAAUAAACUUGAUUUGUCUCCCCAAAUAUAUAUAUAUUCCACCCCAUAAUUUACACUGUGCGUUUCAUAACUAGGAGCAGAGCUUGGAAGUUCCUUUUUUGGACUGUACUUUGGUUUGGGUCCAAGUUACCUACAGGAUCACCUUCUCCUUCACUAUUCACCCUUUAGGAUACUGAGAUCUUCUGGGGGAUGCUUUCUCAAACCAACCAGAACCCAGUUGGCGACUGUCACUCAGAGGAUCUUUUCACCAGCCACCUCACGACUGUGGAAUGUCUAGUCGGAAGAGCUCCCACAGCUAAAUGAGCUGUCAACAUUUAAGACACAACUGGAGACCCAACUCUUCUGGCAGGCCUACCCAGUCAACCUGAAAACAUGAGUUUUAUGUUUGUGUUCUAUAGCUAGCUACUGUAUUUUGAUCAUCACAGUAUGUGUUUUGGUGUAUGUAUUUUAUAGUGGUGUGUUUUGAUAUACCCUAUGUAUUUUUUGUAUGCAUUUUAUGUUGUGUUUUGACUGAGUUGUACCUCACAUUGAGCUAUGAGGAGAAGUGGGUAAUAAAUAAAAUGUAUGGUUAUAAAGC
rnacentral:lncRNA from 11 species